GACGAACGCUGGCGGCGUGCUUAACACAUGCAAGUCGAACGAUGAAGCACCAGCUUGCUGGUGUGGAUUAGUGGCGAACGGGUGAGUAACACGUGAGUAACCUGCCCCUCACUCUGGGAUAAGCCUGGGAAACUGGGUCUAAUACUGGAUACGACCUAUCUCCGCAUGGAAUGUUGGUGGAAAGUUUUUGUGGUGGGGGAUGGACUCGCGGCCUAUCAGCUUGUUGGUGGGGUAAUGGCCUACCAAGGCGACGACGGGUAGCCGGCCUGAGAGGGCGACCGGCCACACUGGGACUGAGAAACGGCCCAGACUCCUACGGGAGGCAGCAGUGGGGAAUAUUGCACAAUGGGCGAAAGCCUGAUGCAGCGACGCCGCGUGAGGGAUGACGGCCUUCGGGUUGUAAACCUCUGUCACCAGGGACGAAGAUAACGUGACGGUACCUGGAGAAGAAGCACCGGCUAACUACGUG
rnacentral:rRNA from 1 species